UUCAUUGAUGAAUCAGAGGAAGAUUGGCUGUGUGGAGGAGAAAAACCUUCGCUUAAAACUAAGCAGUUUGAGAAAUGACAAGCAAUUUAAAAAAUGAAAGUUAAAUAGAUUCACUGUGCAUUUGUUUUAUAUUUGUGCUGUGGCCUCAGUGCAAUUGGGUGAUGGCAGAGCUUCAGCUGGAAGAAGAAUGGAGUGGCUGAGCUGCUGCAGCAAGACAGGCUACCAUCUGGGAGGGGUAUGGAGUUGGAGGAGUACUUGUAGGCAGCACUAUGAGAACAGCAGAUGGAUCAUGGUUAGGAUUGGAAAUGUCCCAAAUCAAGAAGCAUAAUCUUCAGGC